rnacentral:rRNA from 1 species
GAUGAACGCUAGCGAUAGGCCUAACACAUGCAAGUCGAGGGGCAUCACAUGAGGCAGCAAUGCCGAUGGUGGCGACCGGCGCACGGGUGAGUAACACGUAUGCAACCUGCCUUCAACAAGGGGAUAACCCGUUGAAAAACGGACUAAUACCCUAUAAUACAGGGGUCCCGCAUGGGGAUAUUUGUUAAAGAUUGAUCGGUUGAAGAUGGGCAUGCGUUCCAUUAGCUGGUUGGUGAGGUAACGGCUCACCAAGGCAACGAUGGAUAGGGGAACUGAGAGGUUUAUCCCCCACACUGGUACUGAGACACGGACCAGACUCCUACGGGAGGCAGCAGUGAGGAAUAUUGGUCAAUGGACGCAAGUCUGAACCAGCCACGUCGCGUGAAGGAAGACGGCCCUACGGGUUGUAAACUUCUUUUGCAAGGGAAGAAAACGUGUGGGCUAAUAUCCUGCGCGGAUGACGGUACCUUGACAAGAAGCA